UGAGCAAUCUGCCCUUCUCAUCGGAAUAAGCGUUGGAAACGACGUCUAAUGCCGAAUACGACCUCCUUUCACAUGAUCGGAGGUGGAAAGCUCCGGCGGAGAAGGAUGAGCUCGCGGCCUAUCAGCUUGUUGGUGAGGUAAUGGCUCACCAAGGCGACGACGGGUAGCUGGUCUGAGAGGAUGGCCAGCCACAUUGGGACUGAGACACGGCCCAGACUCCG
rnacentral:rRNA from 1 species